UACGAGGGGGGCAAGCGUUGUUCGGAAUUACUGGGCGUAAAGCGCGCGCAGGCGGUCUUCCAAGUCAGUGGUGAAAGCCUGGAGCUCAACUCCAGAACUGCCAUUGAAACUGUUAGACUUGAGUACGAGAGAGGUGAGUGGAAUUCCCAGUGUAGAGGUGAAAUUCGUAGAUAUUGGGAAGAACACCAGUGGCGAAGGCGGCUCACUGGCUCGUAACUGACGCUCAGGCGCGACAGCGUGGGGAUCAAACAGG
rnacentral:rRNA from 1 species